UUACGGGAGGCAGCAGUGGGGAAUCUUAGACAAUGGGGGAAACCCUGAUCUAGCCAUGCCGCGUGAUCGAUGAAGGCCUUAGGGUUGUAAAGAUCUUUCAGAUGGGAAGAUAAUGACGGUACCAUCAGAAGAAGCCCCGGCUAACUCCGUGCCAGCAGCCGCGGUAAUACGGAGGGGGCUAGCGUUAUUCGGAAUUACUGGGCGUAAAGCGCACGUAGGCGGAUUAGAAAGUCAGAGGUGAAAUCCCAGGGCUCAACCUUGGAACUGCCUUUGAAACUCCUAGUCUUGAGGUCGAGAGAGGUGAGUGGAAUUCCGAGUGUAGAGGUGAAAUUCGUAGAUAUUCGGAGGAACACCAGUGGCGAAGGCGGCUCACUGGCUCGAUACUGACGCUGAGGUGCGAAAGCGUGGGGAGCAAACAGGAUUAGAUACCCCGGUAGG
rnacentral:rRNA from 1 species